rnacentral:rRNA from 1 species
UCAGACGAUGCGUCAUGCAUAUCAAUAAGCGGAGGAAAAGAAACUAACAAGGAUUCCCCUAGUAACGGCGAGUGAAGCGGGAAGAGCUCAAAUUUGAAAUCUUAAAGGGUUUCCCUUUACGAAUUGUAGUUUAAAGAAGUGUUUUCUGUUGAGGUUUUGGUAAAAGUUCUUUGGAAUAGGACAUCAUAGAGGGUGAGAAUCCCGUAUUUGACCUUUACUUUCAACUUUGUGAUACACUUUCAAAGAGUCGGAUUGUUUGGGAAUGCAGUCCAAAAUGGGUGGUAAAUUUCAUCUAAAGCUAAAUAUUGGCGAGAGACCGAUAGCGAACAAGUACCGUCGAGGGAAAGAUGAAAAGAACUUUGAAAAGAGAGUUAAACAGUACGUGAAAUUGUCAAAAGGGAAGCGUUUGACACCAGUGUUGUUUUUCUGAAAAUCAAUUAAAGAACUGUUUAUGCUAAGCUGUUUAGACUUUAUCAGCUAAUCUGUUUAGUUUUGAGCUUUUCUUUAAUGCACUUUUCAGUUAACAAGUCAACAUCAAUUUCUUUUGCUGUAAAAAAGCUUGAGGAAGGUGGCUUGAGAUUCGUCUUAAGUGUUUAUAGCCUCUUGCCUAUGCAGUCGGAGAGAUUGAGGUCUGCAGCGUAGAUCCUUCGGGGCUAAAUGCAUUUGUGCUAAGUUAUAGCAUUUUAUAGACAACUUGUUGACUAUGAUUUGUCUUGUAGCUUACUCGCUUAUGUUAUUUUACCUACGCUUAGGAUGUUGACACACGCGCGUGCUCG